GGAGAUAUAGCUCAGUUGGUAGAGUGCUUGCCUCGCAAGCACAAGGACCUGGGUUCAAUCCCCAGCCCCCCCC
rnacentral:tRNA from 1 species